AAGUCUUGACAUCCUCCUGAACAGCUGGGUAAUGCCGGCUGGUCCUUCGGGACGGGAGAGACAGGUGGUGCAUGGUUGUCGUCAGCUCGUGUCGUGAGAUGUUGGGUUAAGUCCCGCAACGAGCGCAACCCUUAUCCUUAGUAGCCAGCAGUAAGAUGGGCACUCUAGGGAGACUGCCAGGGACAACCUGGAGGAAGGCGGGGAUGACGUCAAAUCAUCAUGCCCCUUAUGACUUGGGCUACACACGUGCUACAAUGGCGUAAACAAAGGGAAGCGACCCUGUGAAGGUGAGCAAAUCUCAAAAAUAACGUCUCAGUUCGGAUUGUAGUCUGCAACUCGACUACAUGAAGCUGGAAUCGCUAGUAAUCGCGAAUCAGAAUGUCGCGGUGAAUACGUUCCCGGGUC
rnacentral:rRNA from 1 species